rnacentral:lncRNA from 1 species
AUUGAGUGAAAGUCAUUAUGUGCCAUAUGAGUUGGUUGUCCUCUUAAUCAAGAAGUAUAGAGACACUGGCAUGGCAUAAGAUGAGAUGAAGGGAUACAUCAUCAUUGAACAAGUGACACGCCUGCUAAGCACUCUACUGUCAAGUGCAGCUUGUGAAGUGUAUGGGCAUAAGUAUCCCUCAGAUCUGAGAUCAUCAUAGUAACUUACAAGUAACUCACUGUGCUUUGGUGCCAGAUUAUCUGCAUUUCUAAUACAGUGAUAGAAGACUACUAGAUACAGUCAAGUACUUGCGAAGUCUGUGUGUGGAUCAAGAUAGGAUUGACCCUUCCAGAUUUUAAUUUAGUAAAAUCUUGACCAAGAUAAUCUAUGUGAUAGAUUUGAAAGGUUGAAAUACAAUGUGGA